GACGAACGCUGGCGGCGUGCUUAACACAUGCAAGUCGAACGGAAAGGCCCUGCUUUUGUGGGGUGCUCGAGUGGCGAACGGGUGAGUAACACGUGAGUAACCUGCCCUUGACUUUGGGAUAACUUCAGGAAACUGGGGCUAAUACCGGAUAGGAGCUCCUGCUGCAUGUUGGGGGUUGGAAAGUUUCGGCGGUUGGGGAUGGACUCGCGGCUUAUCAGCUUGUUGGUGGGGUAGUGGCUUACCAAGGCUUUGACGGGUAGCCGGCCUGAGAGGGUGACCGGCGACAUUGGGACUGAGAGACGGCCCAGACUCCUACGGAAGGCAGCAGUGGGGAAUAUUGCACAAUGGGCGGAAGCCUGAUGCAGCAACGCCGCGUGCGGGAUGACGGCCUUCGGGUUGUAAACCGCUUUCGCCUGUGACGAAGCGUGAGUGACGGUAAUGGGUAAAGAAGCACCGGCUAACUACGUG
rnacentral:rRNA from 1 species